CACACUGGAACUGAGACACGGCCCAGACUCCUACGGGAGGCAGCAGUAGGGAAUCUUCCGCAAUGGACGAAAGUCUGACGGAGCAACGCCGCGUGAGUGAUGAAGGUUUUCGGAUCGUAAAACUCUGUUGUCAGGGAAGAACAAGUGCCGGAGUAACUGCCGGCGCCUUGACGGUACCUGACUAGAAAGCCACGGCUAACUACGUGCCAGCAGCCGCGGUAAUACGUAGGUGGCAAGCGUUGUCCGGAAUUAUUGGGCGUAAAGCGCGCGCAGGCGGUUUCUUAAGUCUGAUGUGAAAGCCCCCGGCUCAACCGGGGAGGGUCAUUGGAAACUGGGAAACUUGAGUGCAGAAGAGGAGAGUGGAAUUCCACGUGUAGCGGUGAAAUGCGUAGAGAUGUGGAGGAACACCAGUGGCGAAGGCGACUCUCUGGUCUGUAACUGACGCUGAGGCGCGAAAGCGUGGGGAGCGAACAGGAUUAGAUACCCUGGUAGUCCACGCCGUAAACGAUGAGUGCUAAGUGUUA
rnacentral:rRNA from 1 species